CCUACGGGAGGCAGCAGUGGGGAAUAUUGGACAAUGGGGGAAACCCUGAUCCAGCAAUGCCGCGUGAGUGAUGAAGGCCUUAGGGUUGUAAAGCUCUUUUACCAGGGAUGAUAAUGACAGUACCUGGAGAAUAAGCUCCGGCUAACUCCGUGCCAGCAGCCGCGGUAAUACGGAGGGAGCUAGCGUUGUUCGGAAUUACUGGGCGUAAAGCGCACGUAGGCGGUUACUCAAGUCAGAGGUGAAAGCCCGGGGCUCAACCCCGGAACUGCCUUUGAAACUAGGUAACUAGAAUCCUGGAGAGGUGAGUGGAAUUCCGAGUGUAGAGGUGAAAUUCGUAGAUAUUCGGAAGAAACACCAGUGGCGAAGGCGGCUCACUGGACAGGUAUUGACGCUGAGGUGCGAAAGCGUGGGGAGGCAAACAGGAUUAGAUACCCUGGUAGUCCACGCCGUAAAACGAUGAUAACUAGCUGUCCGGGCACAUGGUGUUUGGGUGGCGCAGCUAACGCAUUAAGUUAUCCGCCUGGGGAGUACGGUCGCAAGAUUAAAAACUACAAAAGGAAAUUAGACGGCNGAGAGNGCGAGACGACACGAGGAGAG
rnacentral:rRNA from 1 species